CCGGCGCACGGGUGAGUAACGCGUAUGCAACCUGCCCGUUUCAGCGGGAUAACCCGGAGAAAUCCGGCCUAAUACCGCAUGUGGCCGAGGGGAGGCAUCCUCUUUCGGCCAAAGGAGGCGACUCCGGAGACGGAUGGGCAUGCGUGACAUUAGCUAGUUGGCGGGGUAACGGCCCACCAAGGCGACGAUGUCUAGGGGUUCUGAGAGGAAGGUCCCCCACACUGGUACUGAGACACGGACCAGACUCCUACGGAAGGCAGCAG
rnacentral:rRNA from 1 species